rnacentral:lncRNA from 1 species
CCUUUUGAAGGUCUCUCUCCAGAAGAUGAGGAAGGAAUUUGUCUCAGUCCACUUCCACACCUGUCCACCUGAGCUGGGCGUUAGCCUGAGCCUUUGCCUCUGUAUGGAUCCCUGACUUUGAGUUUUAUGCAAUUUCUUGUAUAAAAGGAGAGCCUGAGUCCAUGGAAGUUGGGAUUGAACAUCCUGAAUAUGCAGUUCCUUGGAGAGCCACCAAGAAAAGACCUAAGCAAGAGACAUGAUGUCACCUUCGGGGAGGAGGCUCUUCAAGCUGUUUGGCAUGAGAAGAGGAGGAAUGAGGAGGAUCACUGGCCUUGAACCCCCAAAGAGAGGCUAGAGCACCUUUCUAGGACCCAGUCCAGGGUUUGUCUUGAACAUCCAGCUCCAAAAGAGAUGCUGUGCAGAUUCAAGCUGCCAAGUCCUGAAGGACCUGAGGGAAAACCCAACCCCAAGCAGCCCAGAUGGUAUCUGAGUAUCCUGUGCCCUACCCACGAAGAUCAGGAGCCUAAAGGCUAGAGCUCACUGCAGAACCAGACCAAAGACAGUUUAAGGGCCAUUGAGCCAAGCCUUCCUGACCUCCCAUGGAGAGGGGAAGAGAGAACAGGACCUCCACUUAUCCACCUACCCGCUGCUGAGUCCCUUUAGCCCUUGGCAUGGUAAUUAACGGUCAGGAAGUUAUGCAUCAGCCUCAGCAAGCUAACAUGGCAGGAGAUCCCUCCUGACAGCAGAGCUAAUAAGAAAUUUGCUAAUGCAAUUUAUCACUUUAAAAAGCCAUAUGUCGGUGGGGAUGAGCACUUCUCUGCAGCAGCUAGUGUAAUUGUCAGAACAGAGCAGCGAGCAGCUCUGAGAAGGGGGUGAGGAUGAUGUCUUCACUAAAUCAGUGGUGCAAUGCAGCAGGCGAGGGGGCUGGGAGGAGGGGUGUGGUGCUGGGUGGAGGGCUCCCAGCUCUCAAACUCCCAGGAAGCCAGUGCUGCAGACCUGUUCUGGGGCCCCAUUAAAAACCAGAUUCCCUGAACUCCAGCCCCUGCUGCCUUUGAGCUGCAUGAACCUGCGCUUUGGUUCCUGCCACAGUGUUAAAAAAGAAGCGACUCUGUCUGCAGUAAUGGCUGAUCUAAGUCUCAGCCAUUGAGUGUCAACACACAGGACCCCACUCCAGCUCCUCCUGGGGGCAGGGCUGAUGCCAUGUGCACAUUUGGUCUUUCUCUCCCAGACCCCUGCGAUAACUUCAUCCAGGACAAGGGCCACUGGUCCUUAGUCAGAGGCAGGGAAAGAUUAGAAAUCCACCUCAGGCCCAACAACAUCUCUGCUUUCAGUUUAGACAAAAGGCAAAUUGCUUUGAGUACCCAGUGUUUGCCAAAAUAAAGAGUGGUUUCUGCAAAGGG